rnacentral:lncRNA from 1 species
CUACCCCACACUAUAUAUAGCUAGCAUUCAUCCAUCCACCACAGCCACAAGGGCUCCCUGGACACUCUCACACACUCCACGCAUCCAUACUAGUUAGCAAGCUAGCUAGCUAGCGCACACACAUAUCCAUUCGGCCAAGCACACACACAUAUCCAUUUGGCCAAGCACACACUUGUGCUCAUACGCAUAUAUACCAAGUCAGAUGCCUAUGGCACUGACUUCAGAUACAGCUCCAGGAGCACCUUGUACUGCCCGAUGUACACCUCAGAUAUAUACUUAGACAUGUAGGAGUAGGGGUAUUAUCUCUCCGGAGAGCCCCGAACCUGGGUAAACUAGCGCGUGCUACUCGCAUACCCGCUCCCGGUCCUAUCAGCAGCAGUCUUACCCUCACACUAAGCCCUUGUGGCAUCUGUCGCCUCACACCCUCCCCCGUGAGAAUACCACGACAGUUGGCGCCCACCGUGGGGUGGUACUACUACUAUGCUACCACGCUGCUGCUGGUUUCGCAGUCCGGGCGGGACCAUCUUCGCCAUCACCGCCGCGGCAUCGCGCUGUCUCUCCGGUAGCGCUCGGGGGCUCGACUUCGACCCGCCCCCGGAGCGGCAGCGCGGGACGGCAUGUCCUCAUCGUCGGCCUCGCCGCCUUCGUCAUCACCACCGUUGCGACGCCGGCCAUCUGACCGCGCGCGCGGGGCCUCGCUUCGGUCGGCCGUGUUCAUCCACGCGCCGCUUGCAUCCGCUCCCCUCCGCGCUGCGCCUUGCUCUGGCCGGAACGCGCUUUCGCUCCUCCACAUGCCAUCUAUACAAGCUAGCUAGAUGCAAGUCAAACCAUAGUCAUAAACAUCCCAGAUAAUGCAUGUACACAAGUCAGAUAUUCCUUAUACAACACACAGAUAAUGGCCGUACGCGGCUUGCCUCCGCUCGCCUCCGCCCACGCGUACGCGCUGCCGUCCCGGCUCGCCUCCGCGCCGCCAACUGCUACUGCUGCCCAGGCCCACACCACGGCUUCCCGACGGUGCAUGGCCCCUCUGCUCGCUCCUGUCCCUCGCCAGAUGCACGCGCAGGAGCGGCCUCUGCUCUUCUUCGCUCGAGCCGAACUGCGUCGCUAAUGCGCCUCUGCUCCGCGGCUCCCCUCCGUGGCCGCCCUCGGGUCCGCUCGUGGCCGGGCCGCCUGCGCCGUUGCCCUCUCGCGCGCAGGGCCCCUGCCGCGCGGCUACGCGCUCCAGGCCGCGCCGGGCCGCUCGCCCCGACCCCCGCUGCGUUGCGCGGACGCCGCCUGGGGCCUCGCGCGCGCUCGGCCGCGGCCGGCUGCCCGGGCGCCUUCGUCCCCACGCGCCGCUCCGGCUCCCGCGGCUGCGCGCGUGCCGGCUGCUGGCUGGCCGGUCCCCCACCGUCGCGUCACCUCUGGCUGCGCCCGUGUGCCGGCCCGUAUCCGCGUCGCGGCGCCGCCUCCUCCUUCGCACACGGCCUCCGCGCCCGGCCGACUGCCGGCUCCCGCGCCGCUGCAGAGCCCCACGCCGGCCUCGCUCUCUCGUGCGCCGACCCGCGGUCGGGUGCCCCUCGCCGGCUUGCCGCGGCCGGCUCCGGCUCGUGCCUCGACCCGUCCGGCUGACUCCACUUCCGUAAGACGGCGGCCGGGUUCUCCGCCCCCGUGCCGACUUCUCCACGCGCGCUGGCUGCGCCUCGCCUCCGCUCCAGUCGGCUGCCGGGUCCGGCUCCUCCCGCGUCGCCGCACCAGGUCCGGCUCCUGCAUCGCCUCGCCUUCCUGCAUGUCGACUCCGCCCCGCGUGCCGCGCCUCCCGCGCUCGGCCGGGUCACCGUGCGCCCGCUAGCCGGCUCCUCCAGGUCGCCUCCCCGCGCCCGGCCCGGGCCGGCUCGCCGCCUCCGCUCCUCCGGCUCCGCCUCCGCCCAGCUGCGCCUCGCGCGCUCGGCUUGGUGCGCCCGCGACCCGGCCCUGGCCGGCUCCGCCACUCGGCCCCGCCUCGCCGGCUAUAGCUCCCGUUGCGAGCGCCGUGGCCGGCUGUGCCCCGUCGGGUCCCCGCUCCGGCCGUCUGCUGUGGCCGACACCUGAAAAAAAAGCUGAAGAAAGAAAGGGGCUGGGUGCCCAUCAGGCUAGAGAAAAGAAAGAAGAGGCCGGCUGCUGCGCUCCCACUUCGGCCGCCUGCUGCGGUUGCGUGCCCGAAGAAGAAAAGAAAAAGAAAAGCUAGAUGAGGUCGGGUGCUCGGGGAAAAUAAAAGAGGCCGAGUGCCCAAUCCGGCUGAGAAGAGGCCGAGUGCCCAAUCUGGCUGAGAAGUGGCCGAGUGCCCAAAAGAAAGAAAAAGUGACUGGGUGAGAUGGCCGGCUGCCCGAGAUUCGGCUGGAAUAAAAGAAAAGAUGAAAGAAAUGUGCGUCCGACUGCCAGAUGUGCGUCCAAUCGCUGGCUGCCUGGCCGGCUGCAAAAAUCCCGACUGAUGUGUCGGAGUCCGCCUGCCCAGCCAGCUGAAGAAGGAAAAGAAGAAGACAAAGUAGUCGCCAGGAGAUCCGGCCUGACUGCUCAACAGUCGGCCCGAAUCUUGGGGGCUACACUCAGCGGGUGCGCUGACGCGCCCCCGCGAAGAAGAAGACAAAGUAGUUGCCGGGAGAUCCAGUCCGACUGCUCAGUAGUCGACCCGAAUCUCGGGGGCUACACCCAGCGGGUGCGCUUACGCGCCCCCGCGAAGAAGAAGAAGACAAAGUAGUCGCUGGGAGAUCCGGCCCGACUGCUCAGCAGUCGGCCCGAAUCUCGGGGGCUACACCCAGCGGGUGCGCUGACGCGCCCCCGUGAAGAAAAAGACAAAGUAGUUGCCGGGAGAUCCGGCCCAACUGCUCAGCAGUCGGCCCGAAUCUCAGGGGCUACACCCAGCGGGUGCGCUGACGCGCCCCCGCGAAGAAGAAGACAAAGUAGCUGCUGGAAGAUCCGGCCCGACUGCUCAGCAGUCGGCCCGAAUCUCGGGGGCUACACCCAGUGGGUGCGCUGGCGCGCCCCCAUGGAAGAUUGCAGACAAGAGAAGAGUUCUGUCCGGCUCCCAGCAGCCGGUAGAAGAGAAAAGAAAGAAAAGGGCGCUGCCAUACGCCUCGCCACCUGGCCGGCUGUGCCAGGCCGGCUCGGCCGCGUUCUGCUUGCCGCCUGGCCGGUCAGGCCCGACCGGCUGGACCCUCCUCGAGCGCCUAGAGGCUGGAGGGCUACACCCAGCGGGUGCGCUGACGCGCCCCCGCGAAGAGGAAAACAAAGUAGUUGCCGGAAGAUCCGGCCCGACUGCUCAGCAGUCGACCCGAAUCUCGGGGGCUACACCCAGCGGGUGCGCUGACGUGCCCCCGCGAGGAGAGAAGACAAAGUCGUUGCCGGAAGAUCCGGCCCGACUGCUCAGCAGUCGGCCCAAAUCUUGGGGGCUACACCCAGUGGGUGCGCUGGCGCGCCCCCACGGAAGAUUGCAGACAAGAGAAGAGUUAUGUCCGGCUCCCAGCAGCCGGUAGAAGAGAAAAGAAAGAAAAGGGCGCUGCCAGACGCCUCGCCGCCUGGCCGGCUGUGCCAGGACGGCUCGGCCGCGUUCUGCUUGCCGCCUGGCCGGUCAGGCCCGACCGGCUGGACCCUCCUCGAGCACCUCGAGGGCUACACCCAGCGGGUGCGCUGACGUGCCCCCGCAAAGAAGAAGACAAAGUAGUUGCCGGAAGAUCCGGCCCGACUGCUCAGCAGUCGACCCGAAUCUCGGGGGCUACACCUAGCGGGUGCGCUGACGCGCCCCCGCGAGGAAAGAAGACAAAGUCGUUGCCGGAAGAUCCGGCCCGACUGCUUAGCAGUCGGCCCGAAUCUCGGGGGCUACACCUAGUGGGUGCGCUGGCGCGCCCCCACGGAAGAUUGCUAGAAACAAAAACAAGAGAAGAAAGAAGAAAAAGGGCGCUGCCCGACGCCUCGCCACCCAGAGCGGCUGUGCCUGGCCGGCUCAGCUGCAUUCUGCUUGCCGCCUGGCCGGUCAGGCCCGGCCGGCUGGACCCUCCUUGAGCUCCUAGAGGCUCGAGGGCUACACCCAGCGGGUGCGCUAACGCGCCCCCCCCAAAAAAGACAAAGUAGUCGCCGGGAGAUCCGGCCCGACUGCUUAGCAGUUGGCCCGAAUCUCGGGGGCUACAUAGAGUGGGUGCGCUGGCGCGCCCCCACAGAAGAUUGCAAGAAACAAAAACAAGAGAAGAAAGAAGAAAAGGGGCGCUGCCAGACGCCUCACCACCUGGCCGGCUGUGCCAGGCCGGCUUGGCUGCGUUCUGCUUGCCGCCUGGCCGGUCAGGCCCGACCAGCUGGACCCUCCUCGAGCGCCUAGAGGCUCGAGGGCUACACCCAGCGGGUGCGCUGACGCGCUCCGCGAGCGCCGGCUGUCUUCAACGACCUCCGCCUCGGCUACACGAAAAUCAAUGUGAGCUCCCCACCCGCAUAUUUUUUCACCGCGAGAGCACGGAUAACCCUGAGCGAUGCUCGGGGGCUAUCUCCGCAUUUUAUUAUAGUUGCAACACUGUUCGCCCCCGCGCCAGCCAGAGUUGGCCCGGGGGCUGGCCGCUUGGCCUGAGACGUUAGUUCCCGCAGACGGCUUAGUAGCGUGCACGGUACCAAAGGCCCACUCUUAGUCACAGACCGCAGAGCGGCUGUCUGGCUAGCAAGAGUGAACGCUGGAGGCCACCCACGCGAAAAACGUCCAGGAAGAGAAACGCUUCGGGCGACCCGACCGUUUCCUUUACAAGUAUCAACUCGGUUGAAUUCGCUCCCAGAAUCUAAGUAUUGUACACUCCACUCCGCGGCCCACUCUCAGCCACAGACCGCAGAGCGGCUGUCCGGCAAGCGAGAGCAAGCCAAAGAGUGGAGGGAACAUGAAAGAGAUUGAAGGGGGCUCGGAUGAAACCGAGUCGGCACCCUCCGCAUAAAACUUGCAGUGCUAAAAGCAAUCAUUUGAUAUAUCUGCGUGGACUAACUUUGUCUUUUGCAUCAUCAUUUCCAUGAAACACCCGCCAAAAAACCUCCGCCCAACUUUGCCAAGUUGCCCGGAGGCUUGGGGGCUACUGUCGGAGUAAUUGGCCACGGAUACCCCGAAGACGGCGAGACAAUAAUUCAAGACAUCGGGGCUAGCAAAGCCCCUCAGUCCGACUGCUCGGCUGCUCCUGCCGGCUCCCCGUGCGACUACUCUGCCCGGCCAGCUGCCGGCUGCCGACUGCGCCAAUCAACCGGCUGCCGACUGCAGCCCGACCCGACACCGACAAGACCCCGACGUGGCGGCCAUACCGCGGACAAGACGGCUGUACCGCGACGACAUCAUCUACAGUGUAUCUGUCCCUGGGCACUGUUUUAUAAAGUGCGCCAGGGACAAGGAGGCAUGCACAUCACGUACAUGGGCAUGGUGCCCCAUGCCCACUUGUCCCCCACGCCACUACCUAGCUUAGGUAGUAAGCUACCCCACACUAUAUAUAGCUAGCAUUCAUCCAUCCACCACAGCCACAAGGGCUCCCUGGACACUCUCACACACUCCACGCAUGCAUACUAGUUAGCAAGCAAGCUAGCUAGCACACACACAUAUCCAUUCGGCCAAGCACACACUUGUGCUCAUACGCAUAUAUACCAAGUCAGAUGCCUAUGGCACUGACUUCAGAUACAGCUCCAGGAGCACCUUGUACUGCCCGAUGUACACCUCAGAUAUAUACUUAGACAUGCAGGAGUAGGGGUAUUAUCUCUCCGGAGAGCCCCGAACCUGGGUAAACUAGCGCGUGCUACUCGCAUACCCGCUCCGGGUCCUAUCAGCAGCAGUCUUACCCUCACACUAAGCCCUUGUGGCAUUUGUCGCCUCACACCCUCCCCCGUGAGAAUACCACGACACAACCUCCACCCUCUACGUGGCCAGCCUAUCCGAG